GGCCACAAGCCAGGGAACGUGAACAACCUCUAGAAGCUGAGAAUGACCCAGCUGACAGCCAGUAAAGAAAUGGGGACCUCAGUCCUACAAGAGCUUGAAACUAAAUUCUGCCAACAACCUGAAUGAGUAUGGAAGUAGAUUCUCUCCUAGAGCCUCCAGAAAGUAGCACAUCCCUGUCAACAACUUGAUUUCAGCCUUGGAAGACUAAGUGGAGAACCAACAGAACCAUGCUGUGCAUGGACUUCUAACCCAAAGAAACUCUGAGAUAAUCAACAGCCACUAAACGUAUGAUGUUCAAGACAUUCCUGCUUCUCCUCUACCUUCCGCCAUGAUUAAAAGUUUCCUGAGGCCUCCCCAGAAGCCAAGCAGAAGGCUCUAUGCUUCCUGUACAGCCUGUGGAACCAAGA
rnacentral:lncRNA from 10 species